UGGUGGAGUGAUUUGUCUGCUUAAUUGCGAUAACGAACGAGACCUUAACCUGCUAAAUAGCCCGCAUUGCUUUGGCAGUGCGCUGGCUUCUUAGAGGGACUAUCGGCUCAAGCCGAUGGAAGUUUGAGGCAAUAACA
rnacentral:rRNA from 1 species